UAACCCCACAGCGCCGAUUUGAGCUUCAGCUUGCGGGCGCUUUACAAAUGCCGCUAAAGCGUACGGAAACCCGCACAG
rnacentral:ncRNA from 2 species